GUCAAGAGUCCAAUGCUCAACCGACUGAGCCACCCAGGUUUUGGAAAAUAAAGGUGAAGAACCAUAAAAGACAGAAAUGGCAGUUACAGAGAAGUUUUGAGAAGUCAUCAAAAACAAGAGAAGUCUGAGAAACUCACAGCACAGAGGAGCCCAAGAAGACAUGACAACUAAAUGUAAUGGUAUCCUGGAUGGAUCCUGGAACAAUAACAACAAAAGGACUUAAGAUACCAGUCUUCUGAUAUUGAUAUUUCCAAGUCCCUGAGAAGUUGGUCAAGCUAUUAAUUACCAUCCACAAAUAGAUUAAUAUUCUAGGCCAUUUCUCCUUGAAGU